rnacentral:rRNA from 1 species
CUAGACCUCGGAUCAGGCCAGGCUACCCGCUGAAUUUAAGCAUAUCAAUAAGCGGAGGAAAAGAAACUAACAAGGAUUCCCUUAGUAACGGCGAGCGAAGCGGGAAUAGCUCAAAUUUGAAAUCUCCAGUGCUUGCACUGGCGAAUUGUAGUCUGUAGGGCCAGUUUCGCCCGACGCGGCGUCCCCAAAGUCGUCCUGGAAAGGCGGGCCAGAGAGGGUGAGAGCCCCGUGUGCGGGGGCACCGCGGAAGGUAAGAUCUGUGCCCGAAGAGUCGGGUUGUUUGGGAUUGCAGCCCAAAAUGGGUGGUAAACUCCAUCUAAAGCUAAAUACUGGCACGAGACCGAUAGCGAACAAGUACCGUGAGGGAA